rnacentral:lncRNA from 1 species
UGACCUGGUUCAGAGGAGUGAAAUAAGGAUGAACAAGAUCAAGGAGCUGAAGGCUGACGCUAAGAUCUUGACCAAGACGAUCCAUAAGCUGGAGCAGGAAGAAACCCGUCAGAAGAAUAUACGGCUGCAGCUCGAACAAGAAAUCCGAGAACUCAAGGCUCUUCGGGACCUUGGGCCUCCUUUGACUGAUGCUCUUCGCAAAGAGAUAUGUGAGGAGUAUCGAAACUCGGAUGAAAUAAAUGGAGAAAUAAUGAGGAUUCAUACGGAAAGCUACGAGCUCUGCCGAAGUCGUGGCAAGGAAAAGCUGAUCAAAGCCAACUUAGAUCCAUACUUGCUCGACUCUUCAGAUGAUGAGGAUGCUGCCUGAAGCAACA